UUAUUGAAAGCAUUGAGGUUCAGCUCCCUUCUCUUGCUGAUGAUCAGAAGCCCUGCGACAUGGUUGUUUCUGACAACAGCAGCAGAGAAAGUGACAAACAAGUACCAACACAACCAUGUCCUUCAAGCCAACAGCAAAUACCUAUGGACACUGAUGAUCUUUCUGACGAUUCUCCUACGAGGAACCCUAAUGACGAUAGUGAUCACAGUGAUGGUGAUUGUUGUGAUGACCCCUUUUAUUAUCGAUUUAUCCAUGGAAGAGAGCGGAGAUAUCGUGGAUAUCGAUAUAUUUGUGAUGCUA